GACGAACGCUGGCGGCGUGCCUAAUACAUGCAAGUUGAGCGAUGAAGCUUGGUGCUUGCCCCAAUUUGAAGAGCAGCGAACGGGUGAGUAACGCGUGGGGAAUCUGCCUUUGAGCGGGGGACAACAUUUGGAAACGAAUGCUAAUACCGCAUAACAACUUUAAACAUAAGUUUUAAGUUUGAAAGAUGCAAUUGCAUCACUCAAAGAUGAUCCCGCGUUGUAUUAGCUAGUUGGUGAGGUAAAGGCUCACCAAGGCGAUGAUACAUAGCCGACCUGAGAGGGUGAUCGGCCACAUUGGGACUGAGACACGGCCCAAACUCCUACGGGAGGCAGCAGUAGGGAAUCUUCGGCAAUGGACGAAAGUCUGACCGAGCAACGCCGCGUGAGUGAAGAAGGUUUUCGGAUCGUAAAACUCUGUUGGUAGAGAAGAACGUUGGUGAGAGUGGAAAGCUCAUCAAGUGACGGUAACUACCCAGAAAGGGACGGCUAACUACGUG
rnacentral:rRNA from 1 species